rnacentral:rRNA from 1 species
CCUACGGGUGGCAGCAGUGGGGAAUAUUGCACAAUGGGGGAAACCCUGAUGCAGCGACGCCGCGUGAGUGAAGAAGUAAUUCGUUACGUAAAGCUCUAUCAGCAGGGAAGAAAUACUGACCUUACGGUCAGCAGACGGUACCUGAGUAAGAAGCCCCGGCUAACUACGUGCCAGCAGCCGCGGUAAUACGUAGGGGGCAAGCGUUAUCCGGAUUUACUGGGUGUAAAGGGAGCGUAGGCGGAAUGCCAAGUCAGCGGUAAAAUCGCGGGGCUCAACCUCGCUCCGCCGUUGAAACUGGCGUUCUUGAGUGGGCGAGAAGUAUGCGGAAUGCGUGGUGUAGCGGUGAAAUGCAUAGAUAUCACGCAGAACUCCGAUUGCGAAGGCAGCAUACCGGCGCCCAACUGACGCUGAAGCACGAAAGCGUGGGUAUCGAACAGGAUUAGAUACCCCUGUAGUC